UACGAAGGGGGCUAGCGUUGCUCGGAAUCACUGGGCGUAAAGCGCACGUAGGCGGUUUUGUAAGCCAGAUGUGAAAUCCCCGGGCUCAACCUGGGAAUGGCAUUUGGGACUGCAAGGCUGGAGUUUGGCAGAGGAGACUGGAAUUCCUGGUGUAGCAGUGAAAUGCGUAGAUAUCAGGAGGAAUACCGAUGGCGAAGGCAGGUCUCUGGGCUAUAACUGACGCUCAUGCACGAAAGCGUGGGGAGCAAACAGG
rnacentral:rRNA from 1 species